CACUCCCUCCUCCUUUGGUCAUUUUUCUCACACUCCACUCCCUCACACUCUCCUCUACCUCUCCCCCACGAAAAUGCUGCUGCCCCUUGCUCCCAUGGCCGGCCAUGGCCAUGGAAGGCACUCCAAGAUGAAGCUCCCUCCUCCCUCAAGCUCCUCCUCACCAUGAGAGCCUCCCUCUCCUUCUUCUCCCCAACCCUAGAUGGUUUUCUCUCCUAUUCCUCUUCCUCCAUUGCUAAGAUUGGAUCUUGAUGCAGGUGCAUGUUGGUCCAAGCAUGGAGAAGCUUGAGCUAUACUCAGAUCUGAAGUUCUUGAGCAAAGUUCGUCCAAAUCCUUGCAGUAAUUUCUGCUAUCUUGCUGUUUCAGAUUCUGGUACGAACUUGUAAAAUCCACCAAAUCUCGUGCGCAGAUCCAAAUCGAGUGAUUCAAAGUUCCGCAGAUAGAUACGGAAAAGAUCUACAACUUGGCGUUGGUAUCAUCCUCAAAUUCGUUACGGAUUGUCCGUGGUGAAAGCCCUCUUCAAUACCUUCAUUUUGGCGGUGGUUUCACUUCGAUUGACCUCCUGAAACUGAAAUGGUUCACAGGUCAAGAUCUGGUCAGAUCUGACUUUGUCGAAUUAAACCAGGAGCUUGGGAACGAAUUUUUGAAUGGAACCAAUUGGGGGUACUUAGCUUGUGCCAUGGUGAUACCGAGAGAGGCAAUUGCUAAGUUGUGAUACUCUCAUACCUUUACUAGGUAAAUAAAAUGGGUUCUCUUUAAGUUGUUUGUGGUAUCUAUAAGUCCUUUGUA